ACUGACUGAGCGGAAAGGUCCAGUUACUCAUUCUGGUGUGUUUUUUCCAUGUUUUUUACUGACAUACUUCGUGUGUUGAAACUGCUAUCCAUUUUCUCCAAAAUAUCUCUUGCUCGUUUCAUCACAUGCGGAACACUUUCAGAACAAUUAAAGUAUAUAGUUGAUCGCUACAGAUUUAGUUAAUGACUAGAGAGUAGACCCCUUUGUUUCUCUGUUGCAAUUAUGAGUUAAAACCAUUAUGGAAAUGUGGAUUACAUUUGUUAUUUUCAAGUUGGAAAACUUGACAACUACAAAUUCCUUUGUAAGAUUUAUCAAGCCAGGUGAAGUCUGCGCUUCUUUGUUGCAGUCUAAUGUGCACAUGGAUUGGUUGCAGUCAUCCAGUGAAAGGUGUGAUUAAAUUGAGCUGUUGCAUGCAGUCUUUGGUGCUGAUGUUGUCCUGGAGUGUGGGAGAGUUCCAUGCUUCAAGUCUUCUGGGAUCAGCCACAUCUGAGUUAACGCUGGAUCAUGCUGCAUUGUGGUUGCCGAAAUGUUGAACAUCUAGUAGAGCUGCAAGAAGACUCCUUGAAAUGGUUUAUGUUUACGUAGCAGUGAUGUUGCUGUCCAAUAUGGCAUGUUGUUGCAGCCUAUACUGGUGAAAGAUUUUUUGCAUCGAGUUAUGCUGUUGCUGUUCCUUGGUGCCGGACUGCUGGUGUUGUGCACAAAAGUUACAUACAGUUUUAAUUGUUAUUUGUGUCUGCAGUUAACCGUUUAUAUGUUGAAAAGGAACAGAAAAGUUCCUUGUUGUUGAAUCGCUGGAGUUGUGCUACAUAAGUUACAUCCAGUAUUUUGUUUGAUUGCUAUGUGCGUCUAUGAAGUUAACCGUUUAUAUGUUGAGAAUGAAAAAAUAGUAAUACGGGGAAUUUUUACGUUGAACAAAUAAUAAACAUGCCUUCGCGAUUGGGAAAUCAGCGAGGAGGAGAUUGGGGGGGGGCAAUUGAAUAUCAUUAACUAGAAGAAAUCGUGGUUUGUUUUAAUAAGGUAGAAAUAAAAUCCUUUGUCUAUCACAUCCAUAUACCUACCUAUAUAACUACAUCUAUUCCUCAAACCCCAUAACUUCCACCAACAUCCAUUCCUUAAACUCCCAUUUCCCCACAAAUGUCAAAUAUCUGUAAUAUGUAAAUAUUAUUGUUGAAUAAAUAAACAAACUAUAAAAUAUGUAAAA